AAAAAGCAUCAAGAACGCGAAUGCGUACCAACCGACAGCUCGUUGCACGGUGGUUUAGAAUGCGGGGGUCCUCCCAAAUUAACGAGAAAU
rnacentral:ncRNA from 10 species